rnacentral:tRNA from 1 species
GUUGUUGUGGCCGAGAGGUUAAGGCGAUGGACUUGAAAUCCAUUGGGGUCUCCCCGCGCAGGUUCGAGUCCUGCCAGCAACU